UUUAGAUUAUACUCAAACACAAGUGGAAAUUUAUUCUGUAAUUUCUUGAAAAAUUAUUUAUUUAAGUUAAUUCUUCUGUUUGCUGUCCCUCUACUUUGGAUGCCUUAUAAUUCGCGUUACAGGGCUGAUCAUUGGAGUCGCGAGUCUUACCCUUGCAGUGUGUAAGCUUAUUCUCCAAGGUAAUCAAGAAGAGGUUUGGAUGAUGGCCCUUAUUUUCUCGUUGUUGUAUUUGGGCGCGAAGAUGUUUUUGUUAAUGGGAACGAUGUGGGACUUGCCUGGUGCCUUAUCAUGUCCUUCAUUGCCAGCGCAAUUUGUGUUUGUCUGAUCUUGGCCAUAUUAAUUGUCGGCUUUGCCAGUAGUGCGAACCGUGUACAACGCAUGGUCUGGAUUAUUAUGAUUCUUCUCGAGACAUACUAUUUGUUGGUAAUAAUAUCGCAUUGGUACCACAUAUGGUCGGGCGUACAGCGAGUUUAGCUCUAACAAUUCCAACAUUCAAUUUUUCAAAAUUUAUGUAUAAAAUUUUAACUUGAAGAGACUAUGAAAUAUAUACCUGCCAAGAGACAGACGUAUUCUCGCUAAAUUGAAGUAAAAUGUACAUACAUACAGUAUGUCAAGAAACUCUUUACACACUGAAAA